UACGGAGGGUCCAAGCGUUAUCCGGAAUUAUUGGGCUUAAAGCGCCCGCAGGCGGGCAGUUAAGUCAGUGGUGAAAGUCUUCCGCUUAACGGGAGAACUGCCAUUGAUACUGAUUGUCUUGAGUUAUUAUGAAGUGGUUAGAAUGAGUAGUGUAGCGGUGAAAUGCAUAGAUAUUACUCAGAAUACCGAUUGCGAAGGCAGAUCACUAAUAAUUUACUGACGCUGAGGGACGAAAGCGUAGGUAGCGAACAGG
rnacentral:misc_RNA from 1 species